rnacentral:rRNA from 1 species
AGCAGCCGCGGUAAUUCCAGCUCCAAUAGCGUAUAUUAAAGUUGUUGCAGUUAAAAAGCUCGUAGUUGAAUUUCGGGAUCAAUUCGUCGGUCGUGCCUUCGGGUACGUACUGGUGUUAUUGGUUUCUCCCUUCUGACGAACCAUGAUGUCAUUAAUUUGGUGUUAUGGGGAGUUAGGACUGUUACUUUGAAAAAAUUAGAGUGUUUAAAGCAGGCAUUAGCCUGAAUACAUUAGCAUGGAAUAAUGAAAUAGGACGUUCGAUCCUAUUUUGUUGGCUUCUAGGAUCAACGUAAUGAUUAAUAGGGAUAGUUGGGGGCAUUAGUAUUCAAUUGUCAGAGGUGAAAUUCUUGGAUUUAUUGAAGACUAACUACUGCGAAAGCAUUUGCCAAGGAUGUUUUCAUUAAUCAAGAACGAAAGUUAGGGGAUCGAAGACGAUCAGAUACCGUCGUAGUCUUAACCAUAAACUAUGCCGACUAGGGAUCGGAUGAUGUUAAUUUUUAAUGACUCAUUCGGCGCCUUA